rnacentral:miRNA from 1 species
UUAGGUUGGUGCAAAAGUAAUUGCGGUUUGGGCCUUUAUUUUCAAUGGCAAAAACCUCAAUUGCUUUUGUGCCAACCUAAUACUU